UGAUAUUUUUUUGGGUUUUUAGAUACCUCAGCCAGCAAUGGGUGCUGGUUUUAUGCCCCCGAGAGCUCCACCACCCGCAGAUACUACUAGACCACCUCCAAUGAUGGUACCUCCACACUUCUCACCAGGUGUCCCACCAACAACAUAUUCUAUGGGAGCCUACCAAGAACCAUCUAAUCCACCAAUACCCACUCCUCCAGUCAUCUCUGCUCCUCCUACAGUGUCAGGUCAACCAGUGCCAAGCUCUUC